ACUAGCAGUAAAACUUUAUAUUCUGUAAAAAAAGGCUUUUAUUUCCAGCGCCGCCUCCCAGAAUGCUUUGCAUGGGGACGUGCGUCUGACGUCACGUAUUCAGAAAAUUCGAAAUGGCUGCACGCGGGAGGUGAGGCCCGAGCGAAGAAAAGUGGAAAAGAGUGUUAUUCGUCAAAAAACCCACACAACGACGGUCAUUUUUUCGCCGUGCUAUUGUAAAAUUGUGUUUUGUGAAGCCGUGGAGCUCGAGAUCCUGUUUACUGUGGACUAGCUGUGUGUGACGCCAUGUUGUUUUUGUUUCCAUUACAAAAAAAAAGCUCCACCGUCUCGCCGAGUGCCAGCAAGAGUCAUGAGUACUUGUCAACUCGACUCCUCAACUGGAGAUAACUUUCUAGCACCUCACCAUGGGGAAGGAUGUAUUCAUAUGCCUUCACCAGCACCUGCAUUAAACAUGCAGAGAGUUACACAAGUUCUUACCACCUUGGGGCACCAUUCAGGGUGCCUUUUCAUCUGAUUAAAUUUAUAAUGAACAGGGACAUUACGGUCGUCCCAAGUGGAUGGUAUGAUGAUAGGAUGGUUUUCUGGCCCAGCUAUAAAAACACCGACAGAAUUGAAAGGGCAGCUUUAAAUGAGGAGCAGCAUGAGCCAAACUGGCCAAGAUUUGACGUUUCUGUUGUCCGAACUUGUGACAACUACAAAGACGCAUUAAAAAUAAUGCAACAAUAUGGAAAGGGCUGCGACACCUCAGACCUGCAAUCUGAGGCGGAGAACGAGGAGCUGCCAGAAAAAAGGAACAGGAAGGCAGUCCAUCGCCUCGGGGACUCAGAUGAUAGCGAAGAAGACCCGGGAAAUAGUGACCUCACAUCUCUGGGGUUGGCAAGCCAAUUGCACAGGCAGAGUAAAGAAUAAUCUCUUACCUCCCUGCUUGGCACUCAGCAUCAAGGGUUGGAAUUGGGGGUUAAAUCACCAAAAUGAUUCCCGGGCGCGGCACCGCUGCUGCCCACUGCUCCCCACUGCUCCCCUCACCUCCCAGGGGGUGAACAAGGGGAUGGGUCAAAUGCAGAGGACACAUUUCACCACACCUAGUGUGUGUGACAAUCCUUGGUACUUUAACUUUAACUUAACAUCGAAAACAACAAAACCACCAAAAGAUAUGGUUAACAUUCUUAGUGCUAAAGAUAUUCCCCUCUCCUUGUAUCCCUUCUCCCAGCUCCACCGUCUCACCGAGUGCCAGCAAGAGCCAUGAGUACUUGUCAACUCGACUCCUCAACUGGAGAUAACUUUCUAGCACCUCACCAUGGGGAAGGAUGUAUUCAUAUGCCUUCACCAGCACCUGCAUAAAACAUGCAGAGUUACACAAGUAACGGCAGUCCCUCCUCGACUCCCUCCACCCCCCUCACCAGCAGCCCUCAACAUGUGGCAGACAGAGGAGCCUGGAUCCAGCCUGGCCUACAGGCCAACAUGGCGAGGGGGAAGAAUGGCCGACAACAUUUCCUGCUCUGCGCCUGAGGUAAUCCACAUCCUUAGCCUGCUGGAAACUAUUAAGCACAACCAAGACCAGCUGAUUGCGAAGGUGCUGUGAGUAAAAAUGUGUUGACAAGGUCAGCCACGGACGCUGAGGUCACCAAACACGCCAUCAGGUGGUUCAACUUGGCGGGGGAUCGGGCAACGAGGAGACGAGUCCCG